rnacentral:misc_RNA from 1 species
GGAAAUUCUUUAUUGAGCUGAACUCAUUCUCGAUAAAAACUUCUAAACAAUACCACUCUCUGACUGACAAAAUGUACAAAUCGUGUGCUCCCAACUUAAUGUUUAUGCAUACGCUUAUUGUGCAGAGUAAGAAAAAAAUGGUUAUUGCACAGAUUUACUUACAUUCUUCACCACCCCUGUUUGCGAUUUGUUUAAUAAUUUAUCGAGCCACUAACAAAGUACAUAUGUAUGUACACACGAACCACACAAAUCAAAUCAUCAGUUUAAAAUACUUUUGGAUAUUCGUAGAAGGCAAAAAACUGAAUUCGAGAAAAAAUUUUCACUUAAAACUUAAAAUUUUUUGGUGUCACUUCAGCCCAUUAUCCAAGUCUAUCAUCAACUUGAUGCUCCGUCAGAGGACAAACAACUAAACAUAACUAAAUUGCAGUUGACGUAAAUUAAGGUAUUUUAACAGCAGAUGAAGAGAAAGAAGAAAGCACAAGUACACCACGGCAAGUGCAGCUGAUGUUCCAUUGCCGAUCAUUAAUUAUGAGGGAACCGUUAACAAUAUAAUAAAGGAAGCACAAGACGAAG